GCCUAAUGCAUGCAAGUCGAACGGGAUCCUUUGGACUCGUCUGAAGGUGAGAGUGGCGAACGGGUGAGUAACACGUUGGUGACCUGCCCCAGAGAGGGGGAUAACUACUGGAAACGGUAGCUAAUACCCCGGAUGUUAUUGUGCUUAGAAAGCAAUAACUAAAGCUCCGGCGCUCUGGGAGGGGCCUGCGGCCCAUCAGCUUGUUGGUAGGGUAAUGGCCUACCAAGGCAAAGACGGGUAGGGGGCGUGAGAGCGUGACCCCCCACACUGGUACUGAGACACGGACCAGAUACCUGCGGGUAGCAGCAGCAAGGAAUAUUGCCCAAUGGACGAAAGUCUGAGGCAGCAACGCCGCGUGGAGGAUGAAGGCCUUCGGGUUGUAAACUCCUUUUCUGGGGGAAUAGAAAGGAAGGUACCCCAGGAAUAAGUCUCGGCUAACUACGUGCCAGCAGCCGCGGUAAAACGUAGGAGGCGAGCGUUAUCCGGAUUUACUGGGCGUAAAGCGCAUGCAGGCGGUUUUCUAAGUCGGACGUGAAAGCUCUCGGCUCAACUGGAGAGGCCGUUCGAAACUAGGAGACUUGAGGGUGGUAGAGGAGAGUGGAAUUCCCGGUGUAGUGGUGAAAUGCGUAGAUAUCGGGAGGAACACCAGUGGCGAAGGCGGCUCUCAGGGCCAGCCCUGACGCUCAGAUGCGAAAGCUAGGGGAGAGAACGGGAUUAGAAACCCCGGUAUUCCUAGCUGUGAACGAUGUCAACUAGGCGUAGGAGGUUAUUGACCCCUUCUGUGCUGUAGCUGACGCGUUAAGUUGACCGCCUGGGGACUACGGCCGCAAGGCUAAAACUCAAGG
rnacentral:rRNA from 1 species